UGAACUGUCUUGUACAUUAGCCUAGUUACCAGGCAGUGUAGUUAGCUGAUUGCUAAAGGUACAAUCACUAACCACACAGCCAGGUAAAAAGGUAUGUAAUGCAACUUGUUGGAA
rnacentral:pre_miRNA from 15 species